AAAUUAAGUUAUUUUAUAACACAAAAGCUUGGACAUUAGUAGAUGAAAAGAUUUAAGCUAUUUCACCACAAAACCUUGGAUGUUAGAGGAAAAGAUUUAAAGGGGAACUGCAAGCUAAAUACAACCAGGACUCGUAUUUAGAUGUAAAAACAAAAAAUACGCUUACUGUAGGUGUUUUCGCGCGGUUAUAAUUCGUUUUCGAGAAAUUCGACGUUUCGCCACCAUCUUGGAUGUUUUGCUCGUCAGCGCAUAAACUGUCAGCGGUCGCUUUUGUGACGUGCUGUAUGAACAAGAUGGCGUGGUCUAUGUUGCUCUUUGGCAUUACCGCUGAAACUUUGUGGCAGCCAUUUGUUUUCGUCUCAUUCCACGUUGCAUCAAACAACCUCACGUUAAAUCAUUCAAGCUCGAAACUAUGCAAGAGCAAGCAUAUCACAACCAAACCACAAUGGAUCUGAGGAAUCGGUGUACAUGUGCGUAAAAACUUUGUCGUGCUGCUAAUGAAGUUAUUAGCCUUAAAAUGGGUAAAAUAAGCUUUUACUUGAAAAUGAAUAAGAAGAUUCAGAGUGAUGCUCUAAAAAUGAAGAAUCAAGCUAGUGACUUAAAAUACUAUUGUACAAACAGUCCAUUUUAUUUGUUCAUUUUGGUGGCAGUCACAAGGUGAUGUGCUGCUUAUCAUUUUCUGGAAUGUGGUUGAUGACUGCAUUCCCCACCUCUGGAUGAUAAAAGUCCAAUCAAAUGUUACCAGUAUAUGAGAAUGUUUGAAUGCAAGGAUUACACUGAUGAAGAACCUAAAAAGAAUAACUUCAUGCUUCACACCUGUACCACAAUAAAAGGUUGUGCAGCUGUGCUA